AGUUCUGUGGCUUAAUUGGUUGAAGCGCCGAUCUAGCAAAUACGAAGUCGUGGGUUCCAAUCCCACCAGAACGC
rfam:Aedes albopictus isolate Foshan contig135845, whole genome shotgun sequence.